ensembl:lncRNA
GUUCUUCUGGAGGUCACUAGUUCUUAAUUGAUUUCAGCUGCGUCUCCCCCGCCUCUCCUCAUAAAGCGCCCCCACCGUGACGGUUGUUAAUCGUUUUUUUUUUGCGUUGGAUUGCGUGGGCUGAACAAUCCGGACAUCGUGGCCACCGACGUGGACCCCCCGCCACCGGGACCCACGCAGUGAGUAACGCGGGGUACUUCCUUCAUGAGCGCUGCACAUGUUACACUCUCCCCAUCUCCUCCUGUCCUCUGUUCUCGCCCCUCUAUUGUACAUGUUUUACCGCUGGAGGUUAAUGUGGUUUUGCUGAUGGAAGUGGUAGUUUGUGUUGAGUGGUUUGGUUUAUCUAUGGGAUCGACUGACUAACUAACGCUGCGGACCGCUACAGCACCGACCACCACACUGGGAAGUGUCCUCUGCUCACUGUGGAAGCAGCAUGGAAGAACUGCAGCAACUCUGUUGGAAACGAGGACCUCCACGCUGUUGAACACAAACUGUUCUAGGCCUACUACAAACCGAGGCGGUCCCACUCGGUUAAAGAUCUCGUGGUCAAUGCGGCAGACCGCUGGACCUGGACGUCACCUUCUGCAGAUACUUCACUGCCCUCAGGAAUCCACGGAUAACUUGAAAAAAGUCCGACUCCACAUGUCCGAAGAAUCCAGGAUGGAAACUUGUGGAAGGAAGAAAGGGGUCUGUUUUUGCUCAACCCAUAACCCCACUGAGCCCUUCUGUGGAAACCUGCCUGACUGACCCUACUGACUGGGGGCCUGUUGUGUGUUUGGUUGGUCUGGUAGAAGGUUUGCUGCUUGUGAUCUGCAAGGUGGUCCUUGGUUAGAUGCGGUGUCUGACUUGCACACCACUCUCCCAAUUCUAUUCUUCUCUUUACUACUUUCAAUACACUUGCUGCUGCUGCUGUUGACCGCUGGUGGUGCAAUGUGGUUUUUAUUCGCGUAUGUUCUGUGGACUUUGCAUUUGUAUUUUAAUGAACAUGUUUACUGCCUGUUAGACCUCUGAUUGGCAUACCUAAACUCCUUCACUGGCAAAAUGUAGAUGCAAAUUAAAUGCCAAAAUUAACAUUUCAAUAUUCGGUUUGCGUAUUUCACCAAUAGCUUCGGAACUAAAUGGACCUCGUAUAUAAUUUGCUCUUCAAAGAUGCGGUCAGGCGCCCCUCCGUUACGUUUUCUGCCCGGUACGAAAUAGACCGACCAAUAGCAUAGCAUCGACCCAUUUUAGAUCGCGCCCUUUAGACACGCCCCUUGGAAAUUGAACAACGCAGAGGAUCCAGAAGGAUUUCACAACGAGUCCAUUGGAAGAUAUCGAGGAACAUGAACAUCACCAAUGAAGGAGAGUAACGUUUCCACUUGCUAUAGGAAUUUAGUGAAGCACUAAAUAGUUAAUAAUAAUAAUGAUAAAAUGUGGUCACCAUUUAUUGACUUUUUGGGUAAGACUUGCUUAACCAUUCAUUUACUUUUCUUGUGUAGUUUCCCACUAUUCAUUAAAUGUUUUAUAGAAGUAAAAAUAGUAAUCAAUAGAACAUACACAUUUGUACAACAAUUAAUCAUUAUACAGGAUUUGAACAUUUUCUAUUCGAGCUCAUGCUUCAUAAUAUUUCCAAGGAUUGCAGAGUACCAAAUGAUUUAUGAACAGUUUUUUGUUCAGGAGCGGAUUGUACUCCCAGAGGCUUCAACAGAGCGGGUCUGGAGCUGGGAGCUGCAGGUGGAUGGUGGCCAGGAGCCGUUCAGUCCUACAGACACAGACGGAGGUGAUGGAGGCGGUCGUCUGGAGGGGCUCGUCUGGAGGUCCGUGGCAGUCGUCUGGAGGUGCUCGUCUGGAGGUCCGUGGCGGUCGUCUGGAGGUGCUCGCCGUGAGGUCCAUGGCGGUCGUCUGGAGGCGCCUGCUGCAGGUGGAGGGAAGGCCGGGAGCCGUGCAGCCCAACGGAUGCAGAACGAAGGACUGAGGCGGAGGUCCUGGAGGCAGAGGCCAGCCUGGAGGUCCUGGAGGCGUCCAACCUGGAAGGGGCGGCAUGGAGGGCCAGGUGGCGGCUCCUCAUCCAAAGGGCCUGGAGACGGCCAACCUGGAAGGCCUGGAGACGGCCGAGAUCCUGGAGGCAACGGCGGGCCUGGAGGCAACGGCGGGCCUGGAGGUGGAGGCCAACCUGGUGGUCCUGGAGUCGGUGGGCCUGGAGGCGGCGGUGGUGGAGACCAACCUGGAGGGCCUGGAGGCGGUGGUUGGGACCAACCUGGAGGGCCUGGAGGCGGUGGUUGGGACCAACCUGGAGGUCCCGGCGGUGGCGUCCACCUGGCGGCGGUCAGCCUGGAGGGCCCAGCGGCGGCGUCCUGGAGGGCCCGGAGGAGGCGGCUCCUCAUCCAGUAAAGCUAAGCUCUUCUCCAGUGCAUCAUGAACGGGGAGGAAUGUCCGGGGUGCAAAUAGAACGUGUGUCACAUUUCAGAAGAAAUGAGGCGACGUUGCGGAGGUCCAGGCGGUUGGCCCGGUGGAGGUCCUGGAGGAGACGGUCCCGGCGGUGGAGGACGGCUGGGGGAUCCGGCGGUGGAGGUCCGAAGGCGGCUCGUGAUUAGACCAACCAGCUCCUCAUCCAUGGAAGGAUUGAAGGAGUCACUUGGGAUGAAGAUCACUGCUCGGGGGCUGACGACCACUCAUCUUUCCGGAGAAGCGUCCUCAUGGUGCAGGCGGUCAAACCUCCACCUCUUUGAAGAGACCAAGCAGCUUGAUGACUGACUGGUUCUUUAUACUCAAGACCUCGUCCCGGAGCAGAGGACGGACCUAAGGCCCGCAGCGCAGCCGACUAGAGACUCCAUGUGGAACCUGUUCAAUUAAGUUGACCUCUCCUUCAGGCGACUUAAAGGGAGACCAGAUGUGCAGCAGCUGGGUGUCAUGGUGCAGAGACCCAACGCUGUACUGAACUACACCAGUGUGGCCUACUCCCAUAAACCCUGAGGAUCCCUGGAUGGCUACACCAGUGUGUCCUACUCCCAUAAACCCUGAGGAUCCCUGGAUGGCUACACCAGCACAUUAAUCCACACCCAACAUCAACACAGUGCACACUCUAUAGAGCUCGUAAGUCCGCCCCUUGCGGCGGGACCUUGUGAGAUCGUAAGAUAUGACUGGGUUUCAAUGGAGAGAAAGUAAUUUUUUCUCCAUUUUAUGUUGCACCACAUUUUGGGGGAAGAAUGUUUGAAUCAAUCUUUGUCAUUUAUUUCUGUACUCCAUAUCUGUAAUCCCAGCUGUUGUAUUUUAACACGGUAGCUGGGAACCCUCUUUAUAGGGAGCGACUAGAGGGACGAGGCUGGAAGCAAACCUGAGCCUGGAUCUUAACCUUCUUUCUAAACCUAAUGCCGCAAUUUAACCGCAAAUAAAGUGAGGCCUAAAGUAACUUGACUCUCUUACCUAAACUUGCUUGCCUAAACUCGCUUGUCUUAACUCACUUGCAUAACACCUAAACUCGCUUGCAUAAAACCUGAACUUGCUUGGCUAAACUCGCGUCGCUUGCCUAAUACCUGAACUUGCUUGCCUAAUACCUGAACUCGCUUGCCUAAACUCGCUUGCCUAAACUCGCUUGCCUAAACUCGCUUGCCUAAACUCGCUUGCCUAAACUCGCUUGCCUAAACUCGCUUGCCUAAACUCGCUUGCCUAAACUCGCUUGCCUAAACUCGCUUGCCUAAACUCGCUUGCCUAAUACCUGAACUCGCUUGCAUAAAACCUCAACUCGCUUAGCUUGACUCGCUUGCCUAAACUCGCUUGCAUAAAACCUAAACUCGCUUGCCUGUACUCGCUUGCCUAAUACCUGAAGUCGCUUGCCUAAAACCUAAACUUGCUUUUCCAAACACGUUACACAAAGUUAACCAUCCAUAAUCUUUAACCCAAACCAGACUUGUCCCUGGGUCGCUCCACUUUAAUUUAGAAGUUUCUUCUUUUACCUUAUCUGUGUUUUGAGUUUCAUUCUUUGAGGGCUUGAAGUGCUUUGGAGGAUAUUUGAACCUUUGUUUGCCGCAUCAAUAAACAUGCUUUAUCUUUACCCAUUUUGGAUUGCAUUUCUAUGUGUAAUCCGGCCAAAUGUUCAGUGUCCUUACAUGUAAUGUCUAUGGUCUGACGAUAAUCUGACCUCUUCAUGAAGCAGAAUGUGUGUGAAUGUUGUCCCGUGAGCGUCCAGGCUCUCUGUGGGCCUGUCAACGUCUCUUUAGCAAAAGGUUGGAGAGUGAAAUUCAUUUUUGUGCCAUUUUCAUGUGUUCCUGAGUAUUUCAGACCUGUGGUGUUUCACAUGAGACCUUAAUGGGAACUUUUCUUUUUCGGCCUGUAUACGUAAUGCCUACAUUAGUAGGGUGAUCACUGUUGAUCCCAAUAUUGAUCAUUAACCACCUUCUUUGGGAUUACAAAUCAUGUAAUUUAUGAGCAUAUUUGCAAAUGCCUCUAAAUAUCAGAUUGUGUAAAAAAAAAACAAAUGAAAUGUAACCUGCUUGAUUUAAAGAAAAUAAAACAUCCAAAUAUUAUAAACCUGUUUUGUGUUGCUCUCUUACCAUGUGGAAAUUAGCAGAUGGAUAUGUUUAGCUCUGAUUUGCUGCCUCCUUUUGGUGUGGUGCUGGGAUUUGUUUAAUAUACUAUUAUUUCCAGGAUAAGUUAAUAACCUAGUAUAGCCUACCCGGAA